rnacentral:lncRNA from 1 species
UUCAAAUAUCCUUGUAGUUUGUUUACAGCAGAGUUUCUCUUAAAGCGAGCGCUGAAGAGACAACAGGUGUCAUUGGUCAGCAGUUACAGGUGAUCUUCUUUCUCUUUAAAGUGAUAAAAGAAGUCUUGGGUAAACCAGUAUUAAGUCCAUGGACGGAAUAACCGCCCAGGAAUCAUUCCACAGACUGAACAGUCCUGGAAGACAGAGAAAGUCUCAAUAGGUUUCUCCUGAUUUCGCGCCCGCAGGUCCAGAGUGAAACCGGAAGCGGCAAAAUAAUGGCAAUGAGAUUACAUGGACAGCAAAUGAAGACUGAAAUACUGAAUUCUUCUCCCAAGAAACCAAGAAAAAAGUCAUUUCACAUGAAUUUUUGGAGUAAUAUCUGAGACCAAUUUGAUACUUGAAAGAAACAACUAAGCAC